GAGCGUCUGACUUCGACUCAGAUCAUGAUCUCACGAUUUGUGAGUUCGAGCCCCACUUGCAGACGGGAUCUGAACUUGGGCCCGGGGGACCCUGAGGCUGUUCCAGUCACUAUUGCCGUGUAACAAACCAUCCCGAAACGUCAGGCUGUGAAAUGACCGUUUGGUCACACGCUGCGUCCGUGGGUGGGGAAUUAGAGCUGGCUUGUCUCUGGCGCCCCAAUAUGUUGUUGGGCCUCAUCCGGGAAGACACAGAUGCCAGAGGUGACACGGCGGCUGGGGCUGGAAAUCGUCAGCGGGUUCCUUUGACUUACAGUCUGGAGCCGGAGGAUGGCUUUCAGCUGGGACUUCCGCGGGGCUGAAGACCAGAAUGACAUCAGCACGUGGCCUUUCCAUGUCGUGUCUCCGCGUGUGUCGCUUCGGACUUUCUUGCAGCAGGGUGACUGCACUCCAAGAACCCCAGAGAGCAAAGUUCCCCCCACGUUCAAAAGGAGCACAGUCCCCCGUCUCCCAUUCGAUAGGAGGGUGGCAAGGCCCCACGGUAAGGAGGGCGUGUGGCUUGGGAGUGCUUGCAGUGAUGACCCUAUUUGUUAAGUGCAGUGUGAGACAAAAGCCCCGUGCACCUGACGCCUUCACGCUUCACUGCACGUUAGACUCACUCUCCCAACUCCCAAGGCCCGGCCUUCACCUCGGACCAACGAAAUCAGACUCUCUGGGAGGGGAAGCCAGGCAGCCAUUGUCUUUAACGCACCUGCGACCGGGUGAUUACAAGGCGGCCUUCUCCCAUGUAUGCAGAGCACCUGGCGGAGCAUCUGGCUCCGAAACAACCCGUGUUUCUCCGAGUGUGAACGCCCGUGACCCUUAGCACACAAGGCCAUCCGAGGUGUGCGCAGGUGGACUGAAAGAAGUGAUAUUAGGUGUCUUUCUACGAUCUUCGAGUUAUGACAAGUGAUUGUGGUUUUCCAGUUUGGGUGGUGAUGUAGUCUCCUUUUAAAGUGCGUUUGAGUGGAAAAGGUCAUGGUCUUCAAAAUGAAUUGGUGUGGCUUCCCCCACUCCCUUUCCACGGGUUGAGAUGCAGAUCUGAUUGGUGGCAGACGCCGAAGCAGCGAGUGUGGACCCCAAAGUGGAAGCCAUGUUUGGAGCGUGGCGGAACAAUGAGUUCAAAGUAGCUGGAAUCCCUGACGUGGUCAAGUUGUCAUUUUAGCCCAAGAGUACUGACUGUUGGAGCUGCUACGUGACAGAGAGAGAACUUUCUAUCCCGUUUUGAGACUUCAGUACAGCAGCCCCCGAGUAACCUGGGGCAAGUCCCUUCAUGUUCUAAAUCUCGGUGUUCUCCGUUUUGCAGACGGCACCAUAAAGAACAGUCACUUCAAAAGGUGGUUUUAUAUGAAAAUGA